AGCAUCAUAAGUGGAUGAGGAGAGUGUGGAGAAGACAGUGGUUGUGCAUGGUGGCCUUGCCGCAGACACACUCACGCACACGCAGAUGUCUGUGUCACAUGUGUGAGACCUGAAGCUGAAUGAUGUACACGUCGCGCUCCUCAGCCUAUCUCUCAGCAGGGGCAUUUUGGAAGACCAAUGAUGUGCAGGAGGAUGAGGCCUGGUCUUACAGCAGUUUAAUCCUAAACUGUGCUAAUGAUGGGUACGUGCCAGAAGAAGAGUGUAACUAUCAUGUUACGGUGCAAGUGCAGAAGCAUCACAUGAAGCCAGUGGGGGCCAAAUGACACCAAACAAUCCAUGAGAAGAGGGCUCCUUCCAAGAAGACCUGGGAUACUCCAGCCAAGGACGCGGCCUUACUUGGGAGAGGAGGGUGUACCACAAGUGUGAAGGUGGGGCUUUGUUUUUUGGGGGAGAUUUGUGCUGACAGCUGGGGUAACAAGGGCGGAUAAUCCAGCUUUACUUUGUGUUUUUUACCUAUUUAUCUCACUGGAAAGAUGUUAUUCUAAUAGGAUUGCUGUUGACAAAGAAGUAUUGAUUUAACAAUACAGUUGCCCCUCACUCCAUCACGCUUCAAAUAGUGCGAAUUCACCACAUCGCUGUGGUUUAAGCAUAUUCCACACAAUUUUUGCCCAUAAUUACCCACUUUCAAGCAUAACAAAUGGCAAAACAAACUAAAAAAUACCAAUACUACAGUAUUGGCUGCUUGAUGACACCAUACCAAUUAGAUCACGCUGUUCAGUAUCACGGCCACUGAUUGGCUCAGCCUCAGUCAACCUUACUAUUUUAGAUUAAAAGGGUGCAAAGGUGACUAAAAUGUGGUAUUUCAUGUUUCUCUUAUAGUGUUGAAAAAUGUAUU